GUAGGUCUCCUAGGCGGAAACCAGAGCCGAGUGUGUGUUUUUCCCAGGGUGUCCCGCGCUGCUGUCAUGGCCGCGUCCAAGUGACGAUGUCUGCACAUGGACUUCCAGGUCUGUGGGUGGUAUUCACAGGAUCUGUUGCCUCUAGGUUUCGGCAUCUUUGGACCCUCUUUCUUUCACUUUCUUUUGUUGACUCCGUGUGACCCUCGGAGAACCCCUUUUGGCUGCAGCGAUGUCCAGGGUGCUGUGGAUACCGGAGCUGGCAGUUUUGAGGGGCUUCCCCACUGAGGCUGAGCGGCAGCAAUGGAAGCAGGAGGGAGUCGCCGGUUCAGAGAGUGGAUCUUUCUUACAAUUGCUGCUUGAAGGGAAUUAUGAGGCCAUAUUCUUAAAUUCAUUGACUCAAAAUAUUUUUAACUCAACAACUAUGACUGAAGAAAAGAUGGACAGCUACCUGGAGAAGCAGAUAGUAACAUUCCUGGAUUACUCAACAGAUUUGGACACAACUGAAAGACAACAGCUGAUAUUCCUAAUUGGUGUAAGCAGUUUGCAACUUUUUGUUCAGAGUAACUGGACGGGGCCUCUCGUUGAUUUACAACCUCAGGAUUUUUUGCCAUCUGUUUUAUUCCAGCAAUUCAGUGAGGUCAAAGGACUAGAUGCAGUUGUUCUGAAUCUGCUUGUUCUAGAUGGUGAAUCAGUCUACAGCCUGACCUCAAAGCCUAUUCUGCUCUUAUUAGCGCGAGCUAUUCUAGUGAAUGUGAGACAUAAACUGACGGCUAUUCAGAGCUUGCCGUGGUGGACUUUGAGAUGUGUGAGUGUUCACCAGCAGAUACUGGAGGAGCGCUCCCCGCAGCUCUCUGCUCUUGCUGGAGACUGUAUCGAGGAAGUGAUGAAACUAGAGGAUCUGUUUGUAGGUGCUUCCGGUCAGUAUUUGGCUAUUCAAUUCCAUCUGGAGUGUGCAUAUAUAUUUUUAUAUUAUUAUGAAUAUACAAAAGCAAAAGAUCAGUUCAACAUUGCUAAAGACAUCAGCAAAUUACAAAUUGAUUUGACAGGUGCUUUGGGGAAAAGGACACGGUUCCAGGAAAAUUAUGUGGCACAACUUAUUCUAGAUGUAAGAAGGGAAGGGGAUGCCUUUUCACAUUGUGAAUUCAGUCCAGUACCUACUCCUCAGGAACAUUUAACCAAGAAUCUUGAGCUCAAUGAUGAUACUGUUCUAAAUGAGAUAAAGUUAGCGGAUUGUGAGCAGUUUCAGAUGCCUGACCUGUGUGCUGAAGAGCUUGCUGUUGUCCUUGGAAUCUGCGCAAAUUUCCAAAAGAAUAACCCAGUGCAUAAGUUGACUGAAGAGGAGCUGCUGACAUUUACGUCGGUGUUUCAGUUUUCAUUGGCAGAAGUUCUGCUUCAGUGUGAAUUGAUACUGGCAGCCUGCCUUCUGAGUGUCCGCUCUGAAGCCUCAAGGCCUCUGCAAAUGAAAAAAGGAAAAAGACCCUUCGAGUUUUUGCUUUCACAACCAAAGUUUUGGGCCAUUCAGACAUCAGCCUUGAUCCUCCGGACCAAACUUGACAGAGGAAGCGCACGCCGAGUGGAGCGCGCAAUGAGGCAGACACAGGCUCUUGCAGACCAAUUUGAAGAUAAGACUACAUCUGUAUUGGAACGUCUGAAGAUUUUCUAUUGCUGUCAAGUACCCCCUCACUGGGCCAUUCAGCGCCAACUUGCACGUUUUCUCUUUGAGCUGGGAUGCACGAGUUCAGCCCUUCAGAUAUUUGAGAAGCUAGAAAUGUGGGAAGAUGUUGUCAUUUGUUACGAGAGAGCUGGGCAGCAUGGGAAGGCAGAAGAAAUCCUUAGGCAAGAGCUGGAGAAAAAAGAAACGCCGAGUUUGUACUGCUUGCUUGGAGACGUCCUUCGAGACCACUCUUGCUAUGACCGGGCCUGGGAGCUGUCCCGCCACCGCAGCGCUCGGGCCCAGCGCUCCAAAGGCCUUCUUCAUCUGCGGAACAAGGAGUUCAGAGAAUGCGUGGAGUGCUUUGAGCGCUCAGUGAAAAUCAAUCCCAUGCAGGCCUCAACUAGCCAUAUGGAUCAAGUUUUGUGGAAAUGGCUGGGGGAGGAGGGUGCCUGGGCCGCUUCCUGCGCUGCCUCUGCGGAAGGAUCCGGACAGAUAACAGAGCACCUCACUUCCUUUCCCACCCUGAAGGGUGCCACCAAACCUGUCCUCCGGCUCUCUGCCUUUGUCGUGGGAGUCAGCGAGCAAGUCAGCUGCAUUCUCUUGCCCUUACUGGGGGUGUGGUUUUCUCUUGGCUGUGCCUAUUUGGCCUUGGAAGACUACGGAGGUUCUGCGAAGGCAUUUCAGCGUUGUGUGACUCUAGAACCCGACAAUGCUGAAGCUUGGAACAACUUAUCAACUUCCUAUAUCCGAUUAAAACAAAAAGUAAAAGCUUUUAGAACUUUACAAGAAGCCCUUAAGUGCAACUAUGAACACUGGCAGAUCUGGGAAAACUACAUUCUCACUAGCACUGAUGUUGGGGAAUUUUCAGAAGCCAUUAAAGCCUAUCACAGACUCUUGGACUUACGAGACAAAUACAAAGAUGUUCAGGUCCUUAAAAUUCUGGUCAGGGCAGUGGUUGACGGGAUGACCGAUCGAAGUGGAGAUGUUGCAACUGGCCUCAAAGGGAAGCUGCAGGAGUUACUUGGCAGAGUGACUUCAAGAGUGACGAAUGAUGGAGAAAUCUGGAGGCUGUAUGCCGAAGUGUAUGGAAAUGGGCAGAGCGAAAAGCCUGAUGAAAAUGAAAAGGCGUUCCAGUAUCUCUCUAAGGCAUACAAGUGUGACACACAGUCCAGUUGUUGGGAGAAAGAUAUGACAUCAUUUAAGCAAGUGGUGCAGAGAGCCUUAGGACUCGCACAUGUGGCUAUAAAACACAGUAAAAACAAAUCCAGCCCCCCAGAGGCUAUACAGGUGCUUUCUUCAGUUCGACUCAAUUUACAGGGCCUGUUAUCUAAAGCAAAGUAAUGUAAUGUUUCCUCUAAAAAAAGACUUUUAUUUAAGAAGCUGAUUUCGAAGCCUGGUGACGGGUAUUAAGGAGGGCACGUACUGCACGGAGCACUGGGUGUUAUACGAAAACAAUGGAUCGUGGAUCACCACAUCAAAAACUAAUGAUGUAUUGUAUGGUGACUAACAUAACAUAAUAAAAUUAAAAACUACAAAAAAAAAGCUGAUUUCGAAACAAAUAUUAAGUGGGUAGUAUAUGGAUUUCACAAAGAUUAAGGUCGCAACUUUUUACAGAUGUGUCAAGUGGAGAAAUUUCCAGGGAGUUAGCUGAUGAAAAAGCAGCGAUGGACGCCCUCGUCAUAGAGCUGCAAGGCCUAAGCAACCAGUUUCGAAACCAGUACUGACCAUCCUGGGAAGAGUUUUUGGAAAAGGAGCGCUCACCUUCUGAAUUUCUCUUAUACCUGUGUAUCUGAAACACAAGAUAAUUGAUUUUUUUAAAUAAAUUUCUCUUUAAUGGCUA